rnacentral:rRNA from 1 species
UACGUAGGUGGCGAGCGUUGUCCGGAUUUACUGGGUGUAAAGGGCGUGUAGGCGGGAAUGUAAGUCAGAUGUGAAACUCCGGGGCUCAACCUCGGAACUGCAUCUGAAACUAUGUUUCUUGAGUGCUGGAGAGGAAAGCGGAAUUCCUAGUGUAGCGGUGAAAUGCGUAGAUAUUAGGAGGAACACCAGUGGCGAAGGCGGCUUUCUGGACAGUAACUGACGCUGAGGCGCGAAAGCGUGGGGAGCAAACAGG